rnacentral:rRNA from 1 species
UGCAGAGGUCCCGAGCGUUGUUCGGAUUCACUGGGCGUAAAGGGUGCGUAGGUGGCCUGAAAAGUUUGAUGUGAAAGCUCAGGGCUUAACUCUGAAAUGGCAUUGAAUACUGUCGGGCUGGAGGUUUGGAGGGGGGACUGGAAUUCUUGGUGUAGCAGUGAAAUGCGUAGAUAUCAAGAGGAACACCAGUGGCGAAGGCGAGUCCCUGGACAACACCUGACACUGAGGCACGAAAGCUAGGGGAGCAAACAGG